rnacentral:rRNA from 1 species
UACAGAGGAUGCAAGCGUUAUCCAGAAUGAUUGGGCGUAAAGCGUCUGUAGGUGGCUUUUUAAGUCCGCCGUCAAAUCCCAGGGCUCAACUCUGGACAGGCGGUGGAAACUACCAAGCUGGAGUACGGUAGGGGCAGAGGGAAUUUCCGGUGGAGCGGUGAGAUGCUUAGAGAUCAGAAAGAACACCAACUGCGAAAGCACUCUGCUGGGCCGGCACUGACACUGAGAGACGAAAGCUAGGGGAGCGAAUGGG